UGAAUUACCUGUAAAUCUGUAUGGUUAUU
rnacentral:piRNA from 1 species